AUGAACGCUAGCGGCAGGCUUAACACAUGCAAGUCGAGGGGCAGCAUGAGACAGAGAUUCGUCGAAGUCUUGAUGGCGACCGGCGCAAGGGUGCGUAACGCGUGAGCAACUUGCCCGUUUCAGGGGGAUAACCGUUGGAAACGACGACUAAUACCCCAUGGCAUCAUAUUGAGGCAUCUCCAUAUGAUUAAAGAAUUUCGGAAACGGAUAGGCUCGCGUGACAUUAGAUAGAUGGCGGGGUAACGGCCCACCAUGUCUACGAUGUCUAGGGGUUCUGAGAGGAAGGUCCCCCACACUGGAACUGAGACACGGUCCAGACUCCUACGGGAGGCAGCAGUGAGGAAUAUUGGUCAAUGGUCGAAGGACUGAACCAGCCAUGCCGCGUGAAGGUGACGGCCCUAUGGGUCUUAAACUUCUUUUGCAAGGGAGCAAUAAGGUCUACGUGUAGACCGAUGAGAGUACCUUGCGAAUAAGCAUCGGCUAACUCCGUG
rnacentral:rRNA from 1 species